AUUGAACGCUGGCGGCAGGCUUAACACAUGCAAGUCGAGCGGGGUGAUGGUGCUUGCACUAUCACUUAGCGGCGGACGGGUGAGUAAUGCUUAGGAAUCUGCCUAUUAGUGGGGGACAACAUCUCGAAAGGGAUGCUAAUACCGCAUACGUCCUACGGGAGAAAGCAGGGGAUCACUUGUGACCUUGCGCUAAUAGAUGAGCCUAAGUCGGAUUAGCUAGUUGGUGGGGUAAAGGCCUACCAAGGCGACGAUCUGUAGCGGGUCUGAGAGGAGGAACCGCCACACGGGGACUGGGACACGACCCGGCGUCCUACGGGAGGAAGCAGUGGGGAAUAUUGGACAAGGGGGGGAACCCUGAUCCAGCCAUGCCGCGUGUGUGAAGAAGGCCUUAUGGUUGUAAAGCACUUUAAGCGAGGAGGAGGCUCUUUUGGUUAAUACCCAAGAUGAGUGGACGUUACUCGCAGAAUAAGCACCGGCUAACUCUGUGCCAGCAGCCGCCGUAA
rnacentral:rRNA from 1 species